AACGAACGCUGGCGGCACGCCUAACACAUGCAAGUCGAGCGCUCACUUCGGUGGAAGCGGCGGACGGGUUAGUAACGCGUGGGAACAUACCCUUUACUACGGAAUAGCCUUUGGAAGCGAAGAGUAAUACCGUAUACGCCCUACGGGGGAAAGAUUUAUCGGUAAAGGAUUGGCCCGCGUUAGAUUAGAUAGUUGGUGGGGUAACGGCCUACCAAGUCUACGAUCUAUAGCUGGUUUGAGAGGAUGAUCAGCAACACUGGGACUGAGACACGGCCCAGACUCCUACGGGAGGCAGCAGUGGGGAAUCUUAGACAAUGGGGGGAACCCUGAUCUAGCGAUGCCGCGUGUGUGACGAAGGCCUUCGGGUCGUAAAGCACUUUCGCCAGAGAUGAUAGUGACAGUAUCUGGUAAAGAAGCCCCGGCUAACUCCG
rnacentral:rRNA from 1 species